UGGUAAUUUGACCAUGCAAAGGUAUUGAAAUAAGAUUUUAAUUGAGUGCUAAGAGAAUGGAUUGAUGGGGAAGUUCUUUUUUAUUUAAAAUAUUAAAAUUUUAAUAAAAGAUUAAAAUGUCUUUAUAGUUAAGUGGGACGAAAAGACCCUAGAAUCUUGUAUUUAUUUUAAAAAAUAAAUUUUUGUUGGGGCGACAUGGAAAUAUUAAAAAACUUUACAAAGAAUUAAAAAUUUUAAAUUUUGUUAAAGAUACUCUAGGGAUAACAGCGUUAUUAUUUUGGAUAGUUCAUAUUGAUAAAAUAGUUUGCGACCUCGAUGUUGAAUUAAUGAGUCUAUAAAGUGUAGUAGCUUUAUGUGAGAGAUUGCUCAUCUUUUAAAUCAUUA
rnacentral:rRNA from 1 species